rnacentral:sRNA from 1 species
GGGUGGGCUUUGCGAAGAUGGCGGCGCUGGGGGUGCUGGAGUCAGACCUGCCAAGUGCCGUGACACUUCUGAAAAAUCUCCAGGAGCAAGUGAUGGCUGUAACUGCACAAGUGAAAUCACUGACACAAAAAGUUCAAGCUGGUGCCUAUCCUACAGAAAAGGGUCUCAGCUUCUUGGAAGUGAAAGACCAGCUGCUGCUCAUGUACCUUAUGGAUUUGACUCACCUCAUUCUGGACAAAGCCUCAGGAGGAUCUCUUCAGGGACAUGAUGCAGUUUUGAGACUGGUGGAGAUUCGCACGGUAUGAAGCAUUUGGAGUUUUAGGUUUCUAAAUUUUGAGCUCCAAGGGUAUCACACAGUAGCUCUCAUUUAAGUGAGUCUUCUCAUGUUUAAGGAAACCAAAUGAGAAAAGGUAUUUUUCCAUUCAUUUGCUCUACUUUGUACAUAUUUUAGGUGCCUUAUGUGGCACCUUAAUAUUGGGACUCUGGUGUGUGCUUCAUUUUGGGAAGGAAAUAUAAUCCUGAUUAACUACCAUGUUGUAGGUUUUGGAAAAGCUUCGUCCCUUGGACCAAAAGCUGAAGUAUCAAAUUGACAAGCUGAUCAAGACUGCAGUGACAGGCAGCCUUAGUGAGAAUGACCCACUUCGUUUUAAGCCUCAUCCCAGCAAUAUGAUGAGCAAGUUGAGCUCUGAGGAUGAGGAGGAAGA